rnacentral:rRNA from 1 species
AGAGUUUGAUCAUGGCUCAGGAUGAACGCUGGCGGCGUGCCUAAUACAUGCAAGUCGAACGAGGUGCUUUUGUAGCAAUACGAGAGUAUCCUAGUGGCGAACGGGUGAGUAACGCGUUGGUGACCUGCCCCAAGGUGCGGGAUAACAGUCCGAAAGGAUUGCUAAUACCGCAUGUGGUCAUUGGAUUUAGAAACCGAUGUCUAAAGGAGCAAUCCGCUUUGGGAGGGACCUGCGUCCCAUCAGCUAGUUGGUGAGGUAACGGCCCACCAAGGCUACGACGGGUAGGGGACCUGAGAGGGUGGCCCCCCACAAUGGAACUGAAACACGGUCCAUACACCUACGGGUGGCAGCAGUAGGGAAUAUUGGGCAAUGGGCGAAAGCCUGACCCAGCAACGCCGCGUGUGUGAUGAAGGCCUUCGGGUCGUAAAGCACUUUUCUGGGAGAUGAGAAAGGACAGUAUCCCAGGAAUAAGUCUCGGCUAACUACGUGCCAGCCGCCGCGGUAAUUC